rnacentral:rRNA from 1 species
CCCGCUGAACUUAAGCAUAUCAAUAAGCGGAGGAAAAGAAACCAACAGGGAUUGCCUCAGUAACUGCGAGUGAAGCGGCAACAGCUCAAAUUUGAAAUCUGGCUCUUUCAGGGUCCGAGUUGUAUUUUGUAGAAGAUGCUUCGGGUGUGGCUCCGGUCUAAGUUCCUUGGAACAGGACGUCAUAGAGGGUGAGAAUCCCGUACGUGACUGGUAGCCUUCGCCCAUGUGAUGCGCUCUCGAAGAGUCGAGUUGUUUGGGAAUGCAGCUCAAAAUGGGUGGUAAAUUCCAUCUAAAGCUAAAUAUUGGCGAGAGACCGAUAGCGAACAAGUACCGUGAGGGAAAGAUGAAAAGCACUUUGGAAAGAGAGUGAAACAGUACGUGAAAUUGUUGAAAGGGAAACGCUUGAAGUCAGUCGCGUCUUCUGGAACUCAGCCGUGCUUCUGCUAGGCGCAUUUUCCAGUUUGACGGGUCAGCAUCGGUUUCGGUGGGCAGACAAAGGCGCAGGGAAGGUGGCCGCUCCGGUGGUGUUAUAGCCCUGCGUUGUAUGUGCCCGCUGGGACCGAGGAAUCCGGCUCGCGCCUGGGAUGCUGGCGUAAUGGCUCUAAGCGACCCGUCUUGAAACACGG